CGAAGCGUCGCCACCCAGUGUUAUCGGAGCGCGCGCAGCGGUGUUGGGCCCUGGACGUCACCACGACUCCGCCAGUUCUAAGGUGGUAGGCGCGCCUCCUCUGCUUCCCCACCUGCCUCCUGGCCGAGGCCUUGCUCGUACCCAACCCAUCCCUCCAAGCAACACCCUCUUCACCCUCGACCAGGACUGUCCAUCCAGCUCACCUCGGUGUCCCCUCAAGGCAUGGAGCAAGAGAAGGAGACAUUAGGAGAACUCCACUGCCCUUCCUUACUUUGAACUCAUCUGGGCCUUUUGUGAGGCCUUGCCGGACUUCCUUUUCCAGCUCCCACAUUGCCCCGUGCUGACCCCAUUAAAGCCCCUAUUCCCUUA